GUAGGAUGUUACAGUUGAGGGGAAUGCUGUCUGGUUCGAGACCAUUCAUUCAUUGAAUUAUAUUCUUCCUUCCAGAUAUGAACGACCUCGGACCAGGCUUCAUCCCCCCCAACUUCCACCCUC
rnacentral:pre_miRNA from 1 species